ACACAGAGCUUGGUGUCGUCUGGUUGCAGUGGGCCUGAUUACGUGUCUCAAAGUCCGGACUAUAAGAAUUCACAGGCUCAUCGGAGGGACACGUGCAGUAGUUCUCAUUGUCUGUAUUGCUGUCUGUAGUGUAGCUGUGGAUGAGGAAUGAAGUCAUCGGUGACAUCAUCAUUAAGAAGUCCACACAGCCCCUCUGUAUUUCCGAUGUCAGAAACAGAGGCUCGGAUACGAAUACUGCCGAUCCAGCUACUCCACCAGGACACCGAAAACGAUACCACGGUGCCGCUCGGAAACGUUACCUGAAUGAUAUAUUUUAACCAGUGAAUGAAUAAGAUUUGUAAAAAGCAUUAUUCCAGCUGAGAAUUUUCAUGGUUACGAUGAAAAGGAAAAGAUUUGAUAAA